AAUGAACGUUGGCGGCAUGGAUUAGGCAUGCAAGUCGAGCGCGAUAGGUUUGGUGCUUGCAUUAAACCUUGAAAGCGGCGAAAGGGAGAGUAACGCGUAGGGUAUCUGCCCCCGGGACUGGGAUAGCGGCGGGAAACUGCCGGUAAUACCAGAUAAUGUCUCCGGACCAAAGGUGUGAUUCCGCCUGGGGAGUGAUCCUGCGUCCUAUUAGUUAGUUGGCAGGGUAAUGGCCUACCAAGACGAUGAUGGGUAGCGGGCGUGAGAGCGUGGCCCGUCUCACUGGGACUGAGAUACUGCCCAGACACCUACGGGUGGCUGCAGUCGAGAAUCUUCCGCAAUGGGCGAAAGCCUGACGGAGCGAUGCCGCGUGCGGGAUGAAGGCC
rnacentral:rRNA from 1 species